CGAAGAUAGGUUACGGACAUCUCCACACCAAUCCACAACACUCUUUUAAUACUUAGUUGUUGUACUAAUACACUGAGGAAUCCUAGUCUCUGAUACCAAUUUUUGUCAACCCAAUUUCUCAAGUUAUGAUGAUGUCUACCAUAACCCACAAGUAGGCAAGCCAACCUGUAGAGUAUAAUACAGGAGAAAAUCCCAAAAGUGGGUCAUCACAUGCUUUCAACCCAAAGAACUCCAACG
rnacentral:lncRNA from 1 species